rnacentral:rRNA from 1 species
UACGUAGGGGGCAAGCGUUGUCCGGAUUUAUUGGGCGUAAAGAGCGUGUAGGCGGCCGUACAGGUCAGCUGUGAAAACUCGAGGCUCAACCUCGAGACGUCGGUUGAAACCGUACGGCUAGAGUCCGGAAGAGGAGAGUGGAAUUCCCGGUGUAGCGGUGAAAUGCGCAGAUAUCGGGAAGAACACCCGUGGCGAAGGCGGCUCUCUGGGACGGUACUGACGCUGAUGCGCGAAAGCGUGGGGAGCAAACAGG